CACGUAGGAGGCAAACGUUAUCCGGAUUUACUGGGCGUAAAGCGCGCGUAGGUGGUUCGUUAAGUUAGGAGUGAAAGCCCCGGGCUCAACCUGGGAAUUGCUUCUAAAACUGGCGAGCUAGAGUAUGGUAGAGGGUGGUGGAAUUUCCUGUGUAGCGGUGAAAUGCGUAGAUAUAGGAAGGAACAUCAGUGGCGAAGGCGACCACCUGGACUGAUACUGACACUGAGGUGCGAAAGCGUGGGGAGCAAACAGGAUUAGAUACCCGCGUAGUCCCUGA
rnacentral:rRNA from 1 species